UGUGCAGGCUUGGAUAUUGGAGAUUUUCUGAAUGAUUUUCUAAAAGGCAUGGUGAAUAUUCGAAAGUAAUUUUUUGUUUCAUAUCUCCCUGUGGACUGUUAUUGAACAAAUUGAAAAUUUGAGCUGAAAGCCUCGAACACCCAGUGCUGUAACCUGUGGAACAGCUGGAUGGAGCAAGGAGCAGAGAGGAGUGACUGCAGUCACAGGAGGAGCCAGUGGCAGCCUCAGGGGAAAGCAAAUCUGGCUCCUGCCAAUGUGCCAGAGGAAGAAGCAUGUUCAGGUGGAGAGAAUACCAUUGAUAGUUCCAAAAGUCAGAGUGCUGCAUGGGUAAAUGCAAAGAAUGCACAUUCCUUAUUCCACUCCCAAAAAACCCCUAGGGGAGAUCCUUUAACUUCUCUCCAGCCAAGACCCCAGCUGGGUUUCCUCCUUACCUUCUCCCCACAUUCACACAUCCCCAUGACUGGAACUGAGUGCAGGUAUGGACAGUGGAUAUAACAGCCCUGCACAUUUCCUUUGGGCUCUCAGCUGUGUUUUCCAACAUUGUUGCAUUUUGUGUUUAUAGCACAGCAAAGAUUUUCUUGCUCAUUUAAUUUUCUCUUCCCAUGCUGCAAGGCUUAGUUCAUUAGCUUAAAAGACUGUCACGCUUCUGGAGAACAGAAUAUAUUUGGCAGGAGUGGAUAGUAAUUAUCUAAAAAUUCAAUCAAGCCAUUUUUUGAUUGAUUUUUGGGAUGAAAUAUAUGGGCUUCAGUGGAAUUAAUUGCAUCCUAGUAUUUUUUAAAUUUAUGUUUUAAGCAUCAGAUUGCCCCAGCACUCCCACUUUCUUUGGUACUUUUAUUUUUUCCUCUUACCAACUAUAUACAAAGUCUCUUGUAGGUAAAUGCUCUGACUGUAUUGAUUUUUUAAAAAUUACAUAUGUCUUCCACUUCCAGUGAUAUUAGUAUUGUAACACUCAUGUAGCUGAAAAGAAUUUUUACAGAAGGAUAAUUUUCAGUCUUAAAAAUGCCACUGGCCAAGCAAGCAGACUUUCUUGAGACCUACAGAAGGUGCAUGAACAUAACACUGAUUCUGACUGAUGACCAUUUCUUCAGGAAUUUGUUUUCAUGACAUGAACUUAAUGUAUAAGGCUUAAGGAAGUAUUUUAAAUAGCAGUGAAAACAAAAAAUAUGAGACCUAAAUUACAAAAGCAGAAUGGUUUUAUGACAGUAAUGCUAAAGCUGCUGUUAUCAGACACUGCUUGCUGAUGGACCUUGAUGAGAAAACAUUGCUCAGAAAAAUGUCCCAUCAGUGUUGUGAUACCAUCACAUCCCCUGCUCCAGGGCUGAGCCAAAAAAAGCCUGCUCAGAUCUGCAUCUCUUGCUACAUUCUCAGCUGUGAUGGAUUAGGAAGUAAUGAAGAAGAUUUCUCAGAGACUGAUUUAUUAUUAACCUGAUUGUGCAUUUUUUCUGGAACUGUUCUGUAUCAGUUGUGCACACUGAUUUGUAAGAGAAUAAGACUGAAAAUUCAUGUGGAGGAAAGCAACAAAGCCAACAGCAAAAAUGCCAAGAAAGCCUUGAACUGCUUGAGUCACCUUCUUCCCUGCUGAAUUCUCCUGAGGACUCAUGCAGUCUGAAAUGUCUGAUGCACUGGGAACAUGACACCUGCUAGGGGCACAGGAUCCAGUGUGAAGACUGGUUUUGGUAAAAUGGAAGUUCCAAAGUUCAGACCAAGAUCAGUAAACUUGAGGCUUGCCAAUAACUGAGGAGCAAAUGGAAGAAGAGAGGAGAAAGCCAGGGUGUUACUACAGGAAUGAAGCUUUAGCCAAAAUGUUUAAAACACCAGCAGUGGAACUUGAAGAACUGGCAUCCAUGGGUAUGAAUUAAUUACUGGAUUCACCAGGUAAAUUUAAGUCUUGUGUGGCUGUCCUGAAUGUAUUUGACAGAGAGGACUUUCUCAAGUGAAUUAGUCCUUAGAUGCUUUUUGAAUUUUAAGAAGAAAAAUCAAUACACAUUAUUUUUUAGAAAAACUACAAUUAAAUUCCUGCUUUGCAACAUGCCUCCUGCCUUUCUGAGAUCUGGUUCUGGUAGGCUGCUUGGAAAAAAAAAAAAAAAAAGGGAAAUUCCCUGGUCAACUUGAACAAUGUUGUUUUGCAGACCUUUCUCAGCCUGGCUCAAAUGAAUUCAGCACUAAUAACCUUGGGGGUUUAGCUUUUGCUCCAUAUGUACUGGGAGAUUAACAUGACAUGCUUAGAAUAAAAACACUUGUCUAUAAAAUUAUCAGUUCCUGCAGACACCAGUGUGCUGGAUGAAAUUGCUAAAAUAUCUUGCAUUAAAAAACUCUUAUUAAAUACUGGAGAAAUUGUGAGAAUUCCUCCUGAGAUACAACCAGUAAAGAAAACACUAAUUCUGACAGCUGCAUGCAUGGUUUUACAGUUAAGUUUCUUAGUGUAGUUCAGUCCCAGCUACACCACAAGACAAAGCAGACAAUGUGCUGGUUUAGGUUUUUUCUGUGUUUUGUUUUGUUAUUUUUUUUUUUAGAAUAAAAUGGAAAAAAUUAUCACUAGGUGGUGCAUUUUCUGAGCAGGUUUGAGCUCUAGGUAAUUGGGAUACACUUUCUGAGAACAAAGGAGAUGUUUAAAGUUAACCCUAUAAAGCCAGGGCUAAGCCAACAUGCAAUGUGGGCUCUUUCCCUGUAUAACUGUAUUGGAUAAACAUGGCAAGGUAAGAAAAAAUUUCUCAUAAAUCACCUCUCAAUUAAACACUAAACUACCAAAUAGUUGUGUCUACUAUGGCAGUUUCAUCUUAUUCUCUGUACAGCUCUGUCCUUGGAUUAGGAUAAGAAAGCUUCCAUAAAAGCAAAAAGACCAGUGGUGUAUUAAAAAUAACA